AGCGAACGCUGGCGGCAGGCCUAAAACAUGCAAGUCGAACGCCCUAGCAAUAGGGAGUGGCAGACGGGUGAGUAACACGUGGGAACGUGCCUUUUGGUUCGGAACAACACAGGGAAACUUGUGCUAAUACCGGAUAAGCCCUUACGGGGAAAGAUUUAUCGCCAAAAGAUCGGCCCGCGUCUGAUUAGCUAGUUGGUGGGGUAACGGCCCACCAAGGCUACGAUCAGUAGCUGGUCUGAGAGGAUGAUCAGCCACACUGGGACUGAGACACGGCCCAGACUCCUACGGGAGGCAGCAGUUAGGAAUCUUGGACAAUGGGCGCAAGCCUGAUCCAGCCAUGCCGCGUGAGUGAUGAAGGCCUUAGGGUUGUAAAGCUCUUUCAGCGGGGAAGAUAAUGACGGUGCCCACAGAAGAAGCCCCGGCUAACUCCGUGCCAGCCGCCGCAGUAA
rnacentral:rRNA from 1 species